rnacentral:rRNA from 1 species
AACGAACGCUGGCGGCAGGCCUAACACAUGCAAGUCGAGCGAGGACUUCGGUUCUAGCGGCGGACGGGUGAGUAACGCGUGGGAAUGUGCCCUUCUCUACGGAAUAGCCCUGGGAAACUGGGAGUAAUACCGUAUACGCCCUAUUGGGGAAAGAUUUAUCGGAGAAGGAUCAGCCCGCGUUGGAUUCGGUGGUUGGUGGGGUAAUGGCCUACCAAGCCGACGAUCCAUAGCUGGUUGGAGAGGAUGAUCAGCCACACUGGGACUGAGACACGGCCCAGACUCCUACGGGAGGCAGCAGUGGGGAAUCUUAGACAAUGGGGGCAACCCUGAUCUAGCCAUGCCGCGUGAGUGAUGAAGGCCUUAGGGUUGUAAAGCUCUUUCAGCUGGGAAGAUAAUGACGGUACCAGCAGAAGAAGCCCCGGCUAACUCCGUG